rnacentral:lncRNA from 1 species
CCGCCGACACCCGCACGCAGGCUCCCGCCGGCGCGGCACCGUCCCCACCGCUGCUGAGCGCGCCUCUGCCCAUAGUCUCGAGGGCCAGAUGUGACGGGAGAGGUGCUGCAGUUGCGGAAAUUGCGGGGCGCAGCCAAGCCCCUGUUGGCACGUGGCCCAUGCCACAAAAUUAACCCGGGCGCCAGGGAACCCAGGAGAAUGUAAAGUUAGACCUGACUUUUUAGUCUUGUGUGCCGAAUAAUAGAAAGAGACACCAGAGAUGCACCUGCACAGAGGGAAGGCCAUGUGAGGACACAGAGAGAAGGUGCAGUCUACAAGUCAAGAAGAAUGGCUUCACCAGAAACCAGCCCUACUGGCACCUUGAUCUUGGACUUCCAGCCUCCAGCACUAUAAGUCCUUGGGCAACCUGACCUCCGGGCAUCAAUGGCAGCUGGAUGCUGGUUAUCUGGUGAUCAUAACUUCCUUGAAGGCAUUCUUUUUCUUCUGUAAAACAAGCUCACAGAUCCUUAUGACCCUUGAAUCACCCCUCAGGUUAAACAAGAAAACAGCAAAUUGACAAGAUUAUCUUCUUUUCAUCUAUGUCUGUGUUGGGAACAAGGUCAAAAGGGUCACAUCAAAAGGAUCCUUGGCCACAUCUUUUUCUUCUUUCACUCCCUGAGUCCUUUUCUCCCAACUAUGCCAACUGAGGAUUGUACAGCAUCUUCUUUUGACUGGACUUCUUGAAGAGGAGCAGCUGUGUGUUGGAAAGGAAGGACCCUCCUCGGCAGUAGUGCUGGAGACUCCUGACUUUAUCAUCAACAAUACCUCUGUGAUCUGAAGCAAGUUACUUCUCAUAUCUGGGCUGAUUCCUUCAUUCUAAAAUGAGCAAAACCAAGACUUAAUUGCAGUUUCAGCCUCUCCGUGCCCAUCUUCCUCCACUUUAUAUGUGGGACACCUACCACAGCAUGGCUUGCCAAGUGGUUCACUGGGAUCGGAACCGGCGAACCCCAGGCCACUGAAGUAGAACAUGUGAACUUAACCGCUGCACCAUGGGGCUGGCCCCUGAAUUGUUUAAUAAAGCC